CGUCCUGCAGGGAACUCACACCCUUCUCCGAGGCUCUGGCGUCCUGCAGGGAACUCACCCUUCUCCGAGGCUCCGGCGUCCUGCAGGGACUCACCCUUCUCCGAGGCUCCGGCGUCCUGCAGGGAACUCACCCUUCUCCGAGGCUCCGGCGUCCUGCAGGGAACUCACCCUUCUCCGAGGCUCUGGCGUCCUGCAGGGAACUCAUCCUUCUCCGAGGCUCCGGCGUCCUGCAGGGAACUCACACCCUUCUCUGAGGCUCCGGUGUCCUGCAGGGAACUCGCCCUUCUCCGAGGCUCUGGCAUCCUGGCCAACAUGACAGCUCAUAUGUUGCUGCCGGUCUCCCAGCCCAGUGACACUACGUGGGCUCUGGUUGCCACCUUCUUUCAGGCCUUAGAGCAGGACACCAGCAAAUGGCCCAGUACAAAAAAAUGUUGCAAAUGCAGGACUCACCCAUAUCCAAGUCUCAGCUCACUAGGAUUUUGUUUCCUCAAAUCCUGUCUUAAUUGCUCUCUGAUGUCUUCAAAAAGCUCUUUUUAAAAAUAGAUUUUAUAUGGCCUUGAUAGUUCUUGGGAAGGGUUUGGUUUAAUACCAGUUCCUGUCUCAUACUCAGAAGUGGAAGGGCUCUCUUGGCCUUAGCGCCAUUUUUUUGGGAAACCUCUGCGCCAUGAGAGCGAAGUGGAGGAAGAAAGGAAUGCGCAGGCUGAAGCGCAAAAGAAGAAAGAUGAGGCAGAGGUUCAAGUAAACCGCUAGCUUGUUGCACCAUGGAGGCCACAGGAGCAGAAACGUGGAAUGCCAGACGCUGGGGAUGCUGGUACAAGUUGUGGGACUGCAUGCUACUGUCUAGAGCUUGUCUCAGUGGAUCUAGAACUUCAUCGCCAUCUGAUCACCAAUCACCUGAGACUCACCUUGCUCAUAACCAAAACUGCCCAUGUUGGUCCUUUGCCCUGGACCUGUGACACUCUGGACUAUUUCUAUGUUUACUUGUGGCCGAAUGUAACAACCAUAAAAUAAAUCACCUCUUCUGCUGUCUUAGCUGAAGAAUUUAAAAAAAAAAAAAAAAAAAAAAAAAGAAGUGGAAGGGAAAGGAAUUUUAGCUUUAAAUGAAGUUCCAUGUUUUAUUACUGCAGGAGUGGUCUUCAAAAAGUUCAUGGAUUUCAAAAUUCUUUUGCACCAAAAUAAACUCAAACUAACUUGUUAUAACAUGUCUGAAUAGAUCUGGUUUGAGGCAGUAAGACAUCAAUUUGAAAAGAACUCCUAUCAGAACAUGAAUUCUGCUAAAACUGAAGGAAAAGCAAGCAUCAAAUCUGCAGUGAACCUUGGGUGAAAGAAUGGUGAAAAUCACUGAUGCUUUACGAACGUGUAUGAGGACAGUGCCCUAAAGAAAUCGGCAGUAUAUACAUAGACACCUUGUUUUAAGAAGGGACAAUGAUGAAGAUGAAGACCACAGUGGCAGAGCAUCUACAUCAGUUUGCAAGGAAAACAUUCAUCUUGUUCAUGCUUUGAUUAAAGAGGACUGAUGAUUAACAGCACACACAAAAAAAUAGCUAAGCCCACAGACACAUCAACGGGUUCAAAACUGAAGUUGAGCAAGCCUUCCACCUGAUGGGUGCCAAAACUGUUGUGCCCAGAUCAGCUGCACGCAAGAGCAGGGCUUUCCAUGGAAAUUUUAAACAAGUGUCAUCAGGACCCUGAAGCAUUUCCUUGAAUUGUAACAGGAGACUGAACAGGGCUUUACCAGUACCAUCCUGAAGACAAACCACAAUCAAAGCAAUGGCUACCAAGAGGUGGAAGUGGCCCAGUGAAGGCAAAUGUGGACAAGUCAAGAGCUAAGGUCAUGGCAACAUGAACAUUCUUGGGAUGCCGAAUGCAUUUUGCUUGUUGACUUUCUGGAGGGCCAAAGAACAAUAACAUCUUAUUAUGAGAGUGUUUUGAGAAAGUUAGUCAAAGCUUUAGCCAAAAAAGAACAAACACACACACACGCGGGAACGCCCCACCAGUGUCUUUCUCCACAAUGACAGUGCUCCGCACUCAUCCUUCUCAUCAAAUAAUGGCAGUUCUUCAAUAGUUUUGUUGGGAAAUCAUUAGGCAUCCACCUUACAGUCGGAUUUCACUCCUGACUUGCUUCCUCAUUUAAAAAAAUCCUUAAAGGCACUCAUCUUUCUCUUCAGUUAAUAAUGUUAAAAAGGCUGCACUGACAUGGUUAAAUUCCCAGCACCCUCAGUUCUUUAGGGAUGGACUACAUGGCUGGUGUCAUAGCUUACAAAAGUAUCUUGACCUUGAUGGAGCUUACAUUGAGAAAUACAAACGCCUGUUGGUGCUGGUGGCGGUGGCAGUGGUUUUAAGAGACAGGAUCUUGCUCUGUUGCCCAGGCUGGAGUACAGUGGUGUGAUCAUAGCUCACUGCAACCUCCAACUCCUGGGCUCAAGUGAUCCUCUUGCCUUUGCUUCCCAAGUAGCAGGGACUACAGGCAUGCACCACCAUACCUGGGUAAUUUCUCGAACUCCUGGCCUCAAGCAGUCCUCCCACCUCAGCCUCCCAAAGUGCUGGGAUUACAAACAUGAGCCACUGUGCCCAGCCAAGAAAUAAAGUUUUUAUUUUUUGCUUUUAUCUUUUACUUCAAUAUUUUCACACACUUUUUACAGUCCCUUCGUGUAAUGACUGGUAAUUUCAUUCACUGAAGAGACAGCUCCAAGGCUCAUACAAAGGGCUUUUUAUUAUCUGAGACAGACCUGAGAAAGUAAGGAAACUGCCUAAAGCAUAAUUUCCAGGCAGGGAAACAAACAGCUCGCAGCUAGGGUUUUGAACGGAGAGGCAAGGGGGAUGGCUAAGAAUAAUAAACAUAGUUUCUAGUUGCACCCACAGUCCCCUCAUCCAAGUACGGUGAGAGUCAUGUGACUGUCAGCGCGCGGCCUCUUGUCCAUCUUCCUGCAGGACUGUCAGCAACUGGAGGGCACAAUUUGACCAUUUCCUCAGUGCCUGGUUUCAACAAACGUCCACCGACCAAAUGAGCGGAAUGUACGACUCUCCUAGUGUCACUCAAGCGGGGCCAUAUUUUCUAUUGAGUAAAGCAAGCCCUCCUUUUCUCUGCAAUCCCCUUUUAUACACCGUUACUUAGAACACUUCAACUAAAAAUACAGCAGCAUGAGGCUGAAAGCUUAAAACAAACAAACAUAAAAGCCAGCUAGCUCAAGGACCAGCAAACUUGCUCUUCUGGAAAGGGCCCAACAGUAUUUUCAGCCCUGUUUGGCCCUUUCAGUGGGCCUGUGGUCUCUGUCACACUACUCAGUUCUCCUGUCACAGCCUGAAAGUAGCCAAGACAACAUGUUAAAAAAUGGCUGUGUGGCCAGGCGCGGUGGCUCACGCCUGUAA